rnacentral:rRNA from 1 species
UACAGAGGGGGCAAGCGUUAUUCGGAAUUAUUGGGCGUAAAGGGCGCGUAGGCGGCCUGGCAAGUGGGAGGUGAAAUCCCUCGGCUUAACCGAGGAACUGCCCUCCAAACUGCUUGGCUUGAGUCCGGGAGAGGUGAGUGGAAUUCCCAGUGUAGCGGUGAAAUGCGUAGAUAUUCGCAAGAACACCAGUGGCGAAGGCGGCUCACUGGCCCGGUACUGACGCUGAGGCACGAAAGCGUGGGGAGCAAACAGG